rnacentral:rRNA from 1 species
AGACGAACCGGCCAAACGUUAUUCGGAAUCAUUGGGCUUAAAGGGUGCGUAGGCGGCGCGGUCAGUUGGGUGUGAAAUCCCUCGGCUCAACCGAGGAACUGCGCCCAAUACUGCCGUGCUCGAGGGAGACAGAGGCGAGCGGAACUGAUGGUGGAGCGGUGAAAUGCGUUGAUAUCAUCAGGAACACCAGUGGCGAAAGCGGCUCGCUGGGUCUCUUCUGACGCUCAGGCACGAAAGCUAGGGUAGCGAACAGGAUUAGAAACCCCAGUAGUCC